rnacentral:rRNA from 1 species
UGUGCUAUCAGCUAACUUAGUGGCGGACGGGUGAGUAACACGUAGGUAACCAACCUUUGGGCGGGGGACAACCCCGAGAAAUCAGGGCUAAUACCGCAUAAGACCACGGGCUGAAAAGCUAGUGGGAAAAGUGGCAACACACCCAGAGACGGGCCUGCGGCCUAUCAGGUAGUUGGUGAGGUAAGAGCUCACCAAGCCUAAGACGGGUAGCCGGGCUGAGAGGUUGAACGGCCACACUGGAACUGAGACACGGUCCAGACUCCUACGGGAGGCAGCAGUGGGGAAUCUUGCGCAAUGGGGGAAACCCUGACGCAGCGACGCCGCGUGGAGGAUGAAGGUCUUCGGGUUGUAAACUCCUUUUGUAGGGGAAAAUAGUGAUGGUACCCUACGAAUAAGCCACGGCUAACUCUGUGCCAGCAGCCGCGGUAAGACAGAGGUGGCGAGCGUUGUUCGGAAUUACUGGGCUUAAAGGGCGAGUAGGCGGUAGGGCAAGUCCAAGGUGGAAUCCUAUGGCUCAACCAUAGAAUUGCCUUGGAAACUGCUUUACUUGAGUCAGUGAGGGGAGGGCAGAAUUCCUGGUGUAGCGGUGAAAUGCG